rnacentral:ribozyme from 13 species
AAAAACACAACAAAAAAAAUGAAGAGGGAGAGAAAAGAGAAGAAAGGAGAGAAGGAGGAAAAGUGGAGGGAUUUUCUUUUUUUCCUUUCCCUUUUUUUUUCUCUUUUCUUUUUCUUUUUCUUU